rnacentral:rRNA from 1 species
UAAGCGGAGGAAAAGAAACUAACAAGGAUUCCCCUAGUAACUGCGAGUGAAGCGGGAAAAGCUCUAAUUUAAAAUCUGGUGNUCUUUGGNCAUCCGAGUUGUAAUCUAGAGAAGCGUCUUCCGCGCUGGACCGUGCACAAGUCUCCUGGAACGGAGCGUCGUAGAGGGUGAGAAUCCCGUCUUUGGCAUGGACACACCAGGGCUUUUGUGAUGCGCUCUCGAAGAGUCGAGUUGUUUGGGAAUGCAGCUCAAAAUGGGUGGUGAACUCCAUCUAAAGCUAAAUAUUGGCGAGAGACCGAUAGCGAACAAGUACCGUGAGGGAAAGAUGAAAAGCACUUUGGAAAGAGAGUGAACCAGUACGUGAAAUUGUUGAAAGGGAAACGCUUGAAGUCAGUCGCGUCGACCGAGACUCAGCCUCGCCUCGGCUUGGCGUACUUCUCGGCCCGACGGGUCAGCAUCAAUUUCGCCUCUUGGAUAAUGGCGAGGGAAACGUGACACCUUUACGGUGUGUUAUAGUCUCUCGUCGCAUGCAAGGGUCGGGAUUGAGGAACUCAGCACGCGCCUUUGGGCGUCGGGGCUUUGCCUACGAUACGUGCUUAGGAUGUUGGCGUAAUGGCUUUAAACGACC